rnacentral:lncRNA from 1 species
CGUCUUAACAACAAUAAACAAUAACCUUUAAUCAGCCAGGCUCUACGAUUGAAAACCUAGGCAUGAGACCUCCCGUUAAUCUACAAAAUAUCAUGCAAUUGGAAACAUAUCUAAACUAUUCAAUUAAGAAAACCUAGCCUACCUAGGCGUCAAACAUCAAUUGAUGAAUCUUGUCUUUGAGCUUUUGACUCUUAGAGAGCAAACCGUGAUGAAUGAGCGCUGAAAAUCCUUGAGUUUUCACCUCCCCCUCACUGUAAUUUAUGUUGGUUUCGAAAGUGAUUAGGGCGUCAUGCGAAAGCUUACAAUUGCAAAUCAUAUAUAUGCUGAUAAAUUAGAUGACAAAUAAAAGUAUACUAAAAACAUAUUAUUAAUAUAGUUUGGUCAAGCGACCUACAUAUUAUAAAACUAAUAUUGAAAAACAUAAAUAUGUUUAGGAGAAAAUCUCCCCAUAAACAAGACUCUCUAAAUGACUA